UACGUAGGGUGCGAGCGUUAAUCGGAAUUACUGGGCGUAAAGCGUGCGCAGGCGGUUUUGUAAGCCGGAUGUGAAAUCCCCGGGCUUAACCUGGGAAUGGCAUUCGGGACUGCAAGGCUGGAGUGCGGCAGAGGAGACUGGAGUUCCUGGUGUAGCAGUGAAAUGCGUAGAUAUCAGGAGGAACACCGAUGGCGAAGGCAGGUCUCUGGGCUGACACUGACGCUCAUGCACGAAAGCGUGGGGAGCAAAUAGG
rnacentral:rRNA from 1 species